GUGCUUGCUUUGGCAGCACAUAUACUAAAAUUGAAACCAUAUAGAGAUUAGCAUGGCCAUUAAAAAAGAUGGCAUGAAACUAUAUAUAUAUAUAUGUUCUUUAU